CUCCUUUACGGCAAUAAUAGAAUAGUUUUCAAGUCACUGGAGAAUGCUCUGAUACAGAACCUGAAGAAAAAUCUGCAACUCCAAGGACAAAGCCAAGAGAUGGAAGCCUAAACACCUUGAAAAAGAUUUUUGCAGCACCUCUAAGAUUGUGAAGUGCAGGUUAAAAGUCACCUAUUCUGACACCAGUUUUCCGAAAAGAAGUCCUUGAUGGUAGCUGCAAAUUGCCGCAGAAUGCAAUGAUAAGGCGUAGGAGUGCCUUAACACCCAGA